rnacentral:rRNA from 1 species
GCCGCGGUAAUUCCAGCUUCAGCAGCAUCUAUUAAAGUUGCUGCGGUUAAAAGGCUCGCAGUUGAAUGUCUGUAUCGAGCGCAGGUCAGGUGGACGUUGGGGCGUGGAAGUACGGGCAGUUGGAUGUCCGGGGGGCCUCGUGCUCAACGGCUCCUUCGGCUUUUCCACACACCCCCGUCCCUUACAAGCCUCCUCGCUCGGGUACAUAACGGGAAUCGGUCAAACGGAGUGUGGUCUUGGGAGUUGGGGUGUGCGUGGCUUCGCGGUUGCGUGCGUUCUUUCUUUCGGGGCUGCGUCAAGCUCCAUCGGUUUCACGGUCACCUUGAGUAAAUCAGAGUGCUCAAAGCAGUCGUAGGGGCCUUGCGCCCUGUGAACAGUCUUGACGGACUGACUUGGUUUUGCAUGGCAUGUCGGAAGACGACGUCGUGUGCUGGCUCAGAGGAUAAAUCAGUGGUACAAGCCAGCCUCGACGUAAUGAUUAAAAGGGACGGUCGAGGGCAUUGGUAUUGCGAGGCGAGAGGUGAAAUUCUGUGACCCCCGCAAGACCUCCUGAAGCGAAAGCGUCUGCCAAGGACGUUUUCAUUAAUCAUGAACGAAAGUUAGAGGAUCGAAGGCGAUCAGAUACCGCCCUAGUUCUAACCCUAAACGAUGCCAACCAUCAAUCCGCGCGUAGCACCCUUCUUAACGGGCUCGGCGGGCAGCUCCCCACUCACGGGAAACCAGAGCCUCUGGGUUCCGGGGGGAGUCUGGUUGCAAAGCUGAAACUUAAAGGAAUUGACGGAAAGGCACCACCAGGCGUGGAGCCUGCGGCUUAAUUUGACCCAACACGGGCCAUCUCACCAGGCCAGCACUCUUGUACGAUUGACAGAUUGAGAGCUCUUUCUCGAUUCAGUGGAUGGUGGUGCAUGGCCGUUCUUAGUUGGUGGAGUGAUCUGUCUGGUUAAUUCCGAUAACGAACGAGACUCUCCCCUGCUAACUAGUCGGUUGGAUCUUGAUCAGUGGGUUGAGUGCCGAGUAGCUCUCGCUGUGCGUGUUGUGCGUCUCGUUCCUCACGGUUCGUUGCGUGCUCAUGUGUGGCGUUGGAUGCCUUGGAUCACACUGCACCCCAAGUCCGCCGCUUUGCUAUAACUCUUCUUAGAGGGAUUCACGGCACUGAAGCCGUAAGAGACUGAGAGCAAUAACAGGUCUGUGAUGCCCUUAGAUGUCCUGAGCUGCACGCGUACUACAAUGGCACUUUCAACGAGUUUUUCCUGAUCCGAAAGGAUUUGGGUAAUCUUUUUAGUGAGUGCCGUGCUUGGGAUAGAUCUUUGUAAUUGUGGAUCUUGAACUAGGAAUUCCUAGUAAGCACGAGUCAUCAGCUCGUGCUGAUUACGUCCCUGCAAAAUGUACACACCGCCCGUCGCUUUUACCGAUUGAGUGUUCAGGUGAGUCUUCUUGAUAAUGUCAAAGUUAGAAAUUAAGCAAACCUUAGCACUUAGAGGAAAAAGAAGUCGUAACAAGGUUU